AGAGAAGAGAAAAGGCGGAGGUGGAGGAGGAGGAGGCGGGAUUUCUUGUUGCUGCCCGGCGGGUAGGUCAGGCUCCCUCGAGUGACAGCGGAGGUCGGAGGUGUAUGCUGGGCAAGUGUAGAUUGAAGCGCAAAGAGGAGAAAUUGAAGAAAACAGAACACCACCAUCAGCAGCAUCUCUCCCACCAUGUUCAAAACUGAAAGAUGAAGGGGACAGACAGAAUCACAGAAAGUAGAAAAGACAAAUGAAGAUCUGAUCAACUGAACAACCUCCCCCCUGGGCCAUCCACGUUGGCCAGGCCCUGUAACAGAGGAAAUUCCACUAGGAACGAGUCUGGGAGAUUUAGGGUUAACUGAAUUGUGCAGCAAACCAUUAUUUUAAAAAAGAAAAUUUGAAAUUUCCACACACAUACCCACACCUACACACACACCCCUCCUACUUAAUGGUCCUUCUCUUAUGGCUUCAUCUAGGAAGAAGUAUAAAAGUAUCACAAUUUAGUCUGGGGAUGUGGCUCAAGAGCGCCUGGCAUGUGCGGGGCGCUGAGUUCGAUCCUCAGCACCACAUAAAAAUAAAAUAAAGAUGUUGUGUUCACCGACAUUUUAUUUGAUCUACCUAAUACUCAGAAAAAUGUGUAAUUUUAUUAUAAUUAUAUUUUGAGGAUUUUGUGCAUUUUGAAUUUGUAUUAUUCAUCCUGAAAAGGUACAUGUCUUUUUAUAAAAUCUACCUAAUAUAUUUUAUGCUUUUAGUAUAAGAAAUGCUUCUUUGUAUCAUUUAGCAUUUUUGCCUUAAAAUCUGCCUUGAUGUUAAUGCUUUAGCUUUUGUUGUUUUUCUUUGUUUUUGCCUAAUAAACCUCAGGCCAUUCAUUCAUUCUUAUUUAACCUCAGUCAUUUUGUUUUGGUUGUUUCUUUAAUAAACAGCAGAUAGAUUGCUUCUUGUUAUUGUUUUAUUGACUCUAAUCCAAGAAUCUUUUUUUUUUAAUUUUGUAAAGAAGUUUAAUCUUUUCCUUUCUGAUUACUAAUUGAGAAAGUUCAGUACCCACAGUGGCCCAGAACAUAUUAAUGACUUUGUAAGUUAUUUAACAUCUAUAGUCCUUAGUUUUCUUAUCUAUUAAAAAUAGUGAUUGUUAAUAAUAUUGUGAAGAUUAAUUAAUGGGAUAUCCUGGACAUUAGUGACUUCAUUUUGGUUCUGGAACAACAUCUUUGCCUGGGACGGGGUCCUGAGCUGCCAAGAAAAAGAAACUUGGGAUGCCCUGUUUCCAUGUCCCGCCCCCACCUAAGGUUACUAAAUACAGGAAUUAACUUUACCAGACCACCUAUACCCAAGGUCAAUUCUAGCUUAUUACACUCAAGGCCAUUUCCAGCUUGCUCUUUUUCCUUGGUAAAAAAAAAAAAGAUAUAAAAACCUGAUUCAAAUAACUGGCUGUUGUACCACUCUAUGGACAACCUGGCAUGUUUUACCUGUCAAUAAACUUUUUUCUAAACAUGAA